UUCGGCCAUCUAUACCAGGAAUGGAACAGCCUCCCAGUAGCGUUUUCAUCGCGGAAGACUUUGAUGAAGGCUUGCAGCGGUGGCAUCCUUGAGUGAUCAACUUCCACCCGGACAACUUCUCCUUCGCCUUGUCCGUUCCUCCUCUAUCUUUAAAUGGCGUUUCCGAGAUCUCCACUCUCGUACCAACGCCGUCGCGAUUCGCGGCAAAUCGACAGAAUUAAUAACAUUGUUGGUUUCCGGAAACACCCGGCCCAUAUCCACAGGGCGUGGCACAAGUCUGAAUGCAGGCAUCAUCGUUCGAAUUCCGAAGAAAUUCGACAAGACAA
rnacentral:sRNA from 2 species